CCAAACGACUCUCGGCAAUGGAUAUCUCGGCUCUUGCAUCGAUGAAGAACGUAGCGAAAUGUGAUACUUGGUGUGAAUUGCAGAAUCCCGUGAACCAUCAAGUUUUUGAAUGCAAGUUGCGCCCGAAGCCAUCAAGCCAAGGGCACGUCUGCCUGGGCGUCACGC
rnacentral:rRNA from 1 species